rnacentral:rRNA from 1 species
UACAGGGGGGGCAAGCGUUGUUCGGAAUUACUGGGCGUAAAGGGCUCGUAGGCGGCCUUCUAAGUCGAACGUGAAAUCCCCGGGCUCAACCCGGGAACUGCGUCCGAUACUGGAAGGCUUGAAUCCGGGAGAGGGAUGCGGAAUUCCAGGUGUAGCGGUGAAAUGCGUAGAUAUCUGGAGGAACACCGGUGGCGAAGGCGGCAUCCUGGACCGGCAUUGACGCUGAGGAGCGAAAGCCAGGGGAGCAAACGGG